ensembl:lncRNA
ACAAAGCCGCAAUCUACCCCCACAGGCCCUUCCCUACCCAUUUUUUGGGGUAAAAAUGAGCCAUUUUCCCCCAAAUUCAGACCAAACUCAUCCUGAGUUGGCUCCCACCCCUCAGCAGAGACCAGUGAACCCACCAGGACGUUCCCUCCUUGCCGUAUCCCAUCGUUUUUUGGCUCAAUUUUGACUUUUGCUCCAAUUUCUGGAUACCCACAACCCUCCUCUCUGCGUGUAGGAUCAACCCAACCCAUUUUCUAGGGCAAAACCGAGCCAUUUUCCCCCAAAUUUGGACCAAAUUCACCCUGAGUUGGCUCUCACCCCCCAGCAGAAACCAACGACGCCACACUCUAUCCCCCAAGGCCCAUCCCUACCCUAUUUUUGGGGUAAAAACGAGCCAUUUUCCCCCAAAUUUGGACCAAGCUCAUCCUGAGUUGGCUCCCACCCUUCAGCAGAGACCAGUGAACCCACCAGGACGUUCCCUCCCCCCCACAUCCCAUCAUUUUUUGGCUCUAUUUUGACUUU